ensembl:snoRNA snoZ196 Small nucleolar RNA Z196/R39/R59 family
UGUGAUGGGAUGAAAUGUUUGACUGGUUACAUGAUGAAUAAAACAAAAUCACCAUCUUUCGGCUGACAGUCGUG